rnacentral:rRNA from 1 species
UACGUAGGUGGCAAGCGUUAUCCGGAUUUACUGGGUGUAAAGGGCGAGUAGGCGGGAUUGCAAGUCAGAUGUGAAAACUAUGGGCUCAACCGAUAGAGUGCAUUUGAAACUGCAGUUCUUGAGUACUGGAGAGGCAGACGGAAUUCCUAGUGUAGCGGUGAAAUGCGUAGAUAUAUGGAAGAACACCAGUGGCGAAAGCGGCUCUCUGGUCUGUAACUGACGCUGAGGUUCGAAAGCGUGGGUAGCAAACAGG